rnacentral:sRNA from 1 species
UGGCAUUGUUAUACCAGGGUCUGCUGC